CGCCACCACCGCCACCUCCCCCACCUCCCGGCGGUUACCAGCUCCUCCUCCUGACAUGCCGCUCCGCAGCUCCCCCAUCGACCCCGCUGCUCCAAUUGCUUCGCGAGGCCGGGAGCAUUUCGUCGCGUCGCCAUCUCGAGUUCACUGCCGGCGUCGCCAUCCCGAGUUCACCGCCGGCGUCUCCCUCCCGAGCCCACCUCCCCCGGAUGAUGGUAACAUUCAGUAGUUGACGCCUAUCCCCAACCAACAAGUUGCAGGAGAUGAGCAGGUGCCCGAAGAUGUGUCGUGAAGCCCAGACCUGUCCAGCUCCCACGGGAACGCCGCGUGCAGAGCACCUCCAUCAAGAUUCUGGCCACAUGAUAUCUUCUUGCUAACUUCCAGGCGCUGAGUGUUCCUAUUGCAGGCAGUGGCUAAGAUGAGGUCAGAAGGAAACUGCAAGAGUGAAUACACGGGCUUAGAUUGCAGCGAGCUCAGCAUGAUAUGUCUCUGACUACGAGGAUAAACACUGUAUCAUUUUGGUGUACACAUUCAGCAUUUUGUUUUCUUCUGAAAACGACUUAGUCUACAAAUGCCAAUGUGUACGAGAUUGGAAGCUAGCUGAAAGACUACAAUGGACAAGAUGGACCUUGAGACAGACAGAGAAUAAAUUAGAUUUAUUGUUCAAUUUGUGUUCCUUGACUCAUCUGGCAACAAAUCUAUUUGCAAAAUACGUAUGACAUGAUUGAAAAUAUAGUACCUGCACUGCUCUAUGGAAUGGGAAUAAAAUACUUAAUUUGUUGAGCUCA